GAACGCUGGCGGCAUGCCUUACACAUGCAAGUCGAACGGCAGCACGGGGCAACCUGGUGGCGAGUGGCGAACGGGUGAGUAAUGCAUCGGAACGUGCCAUUGAGUGGGGGAUGACGUAGCGAAAGUUGCGCUAAUACCGCAUACUCUGUGAGCAGGAAAGCAGGGGACCGCAAGGCCUUGCGCUCUUUGAGCGGCCGAUGUCAGAUUAGCUAGUUGGUGAGGUAACGGCUUACCAAGGCGACGAUCUGUAGCGGGUCUGAGAGGAUGAUCCGCCACACUGGAACUGAGACACGGUCCAGACUCCUACGGGAGGCAGCAGUGGGGAAUUUUGGACAAUGGGCGCAAGCCUGAUCCAGCCAUGCCGCGUGAGUGAAGAAGGCCUUCGGGUUGUAAAGCUCUUUCGGCCGGGAAGAAAUCGCAUGGGUUAAUACCCUGUGUGGAUGACGGUACCGGAAUAAGAAGCACCGGCUAACUACGUG
rnacentral:rRNA from 1 species